rnacentral:rRNA from 1 species
GAGUUUGAUCGUGGCUCAGAGUGAACGCUGGCGGUAGGCCUAACACAUGCAAGUCGAACGGUAACAGGUCUUUCGGGAUGCUGACGAGUGGCGGACGGGUGAGGAAUACAUCGGAAUCUGCUCAGUCGUGGGGGAUAACGCAUGGAAACGUGCGCUAAUACCGCAUACGACCUUCGGGUGAAAGCAGGGGAAUCUUUAGGGAUCCUUGCGCGAUUGAAUGAGCCGAUGUCGGAUUAGCUAGUUGGUAGGGUAAAAGUCUACCAAGGCGACGAUCCGUAGCUGGUCUGAGAGGAUGAUCAGCCACACUGGGACUGAGACACGGCCCAGACUCCUGCGGGAGGCAGCAGUGGGGAAUAUUGGACAAUGGGGGCAACCCUGAUCCAGCCAUACCGCGUGGGUGAAGAAGGCCUUCUGGGUUGUAAAGCCCUUUUGUUGGGGAAGAAAAACAACGGGUUAAUACCCCGUUGGUAUGACGGUACCCAAAGAAUAAGCACCGGCUAACUUCGUGCCAGCAGCCGCGGUAAUACGAAGGGUGCAAGCGUUACUCGGAAUUACUGGGCGUAAAGGGUGCGUAGGUGGUUGCGCCAGUCUGUCGUGAAAGCCCUGGGCUUUACCUGGGAAUGGCGAUGGAAACUGUGCAACUAGAGUGUGACAGAGGGCGGUGGAAUUCCUGGUGUAGCAGUGAAAUGCGUAGAGAUCAGGAGGAACAUUCGUGGCGAAGGCGGCCACCUGGGUCAACACUGACACUGAGGCACGAAAGCGUGGGGAGCAAACAGGAUUAGAUACCCUGGUAGUCCACGCCCUAAACGGUGCGAACUGGAUGUUGGGUCCAACUUGGGAUUCAGUAUCGAAGCUAACGCGUUAAGUUCGCCGCCUGGGGAGCACGGUCGCAAGACUGAAACUCAAAGGAAUUGACGGGGGCCCGCACAAGCGGUGGAGUAUGCGGUUUAAUUCGAUGCAACGCGCAGAACCUUACCUGGCCUUGACAUGCACGGA